GGAAUGAAUGUAUUUCACAUGUGAGAAGGACACAAAUUUAGGGCAGACUGGGGCAGAAUGCUAUGGUUUGAAUUUGCCUGUCUUUCAAAAUUUGUGGUAAAAUGUAGUCCUCGUUGUUGUAGUAUUAAAAGAUGGGGCCUAUGGGGAAGUGAUUGAGUCAUGAGGGAUCUGCUCUCACGGACGGAUUAGUGCCUUGUAACCAGGAUGGAGGAAACUAACUUAGGUAUCUUUUUUCCUUCUGCCAUACGCAGCAACAAAGCACCAUCUUGGAAGCAGAGAGCCACCCUCACCAGAACUGAAUGCAGGCACCAUGACCUUGAACUUCCCAGCCUCCAGAACUGUGAGAAAUAAAUUUCUGUUCUUUAUAACUUACCCAGUCUCAGGUAUUUUGUUACAGCAACACCAGUGGACUAAGUCACAGUCUCAGGAAGAAAGCAUGCAUUCCUCUUUUCUCCCUAUUAGUGCUGCCAGGACCUGCAGAACUCCAGAUGGAUUCCCCUGGCUGACACUUGAAAGAUUUUUGCUCUAACUUAAUAGAAAUGACAGACUGGCAAAGCCAUAGUUAAAUCAGUUGGAGGAGCCACAAAUCAAAUCAUCUUUACAGAAAGAUGUGAGUGCACAUGGAAAUUUAUGGAGUCUCUCAGCAUUGUAGAAGAGCCUCUGUUUCUUCUCACUGGUUCCUGUCCUCCUCAGCUUGGUAUAUAACUCCUGAGGGCUGAAUACCUGGUUGCUGAAGGAUCCAGUCCCUGCCCUAUAACCGAGGAAGAAUUUCUACUUCCCCUUCCUGUCCAGAAGUGAUAUUCCCAGGGAUCACCUUUUUCUCUCCUGCCCUAUGGACUUCAGAUAUAUCUAUCUGCCUUUCACUAUGACAAUAAAUGUCACUGAUUUGCUUUAAUGGUAGAAAAGACUACAGAGAGAGAGAGUAAAAAUAAAAAAUGUAUUAAUAUGGGAGAAUAUACACCCAGAGGAAUUUUUGAAAAUAGUUUCUCCAUCACAGAAGCAAAACUAGAGCUGGGUGGUUUAUACUGGGUGAUAUAGUUUGGCUGUGUCCCUACCCAAAUCUCACCUUGAAUUGUAAUAAUUCCCAUGUGUCAAGUGUGGGACCAGGUAGAGAUAAUUGAAUCAUGGGGUUGGUUUUCCCCAUACCGUUCUCAUGGUAAUGAAUAAGUCUCAUGAGAUCUGACGGUUUUAUAAAUGGGAGUUCCCCUGCACAAGCUGUCUUGCCUGCUGUCAUGUAAGAUGUGACUUUGCUCCUCAUUCACCUUCCGCCAUGACUGUGAGGCUUCCCCAG
rnacentral:lncRNA from 1 species